UACGUAGGCAGCGAGCGUUGUUCGGAAUACUGGGCGUAAAGCGUGCGCAGGCGGUGAUGUAAGACAGGUGUGAAAUCCCCGGGCUUAACCUGGGAACUGCAUUUGUGACUGCAUCGCUGGAGUGCGGCAGAGGGGGAUGGAAUUCCGCGUGUAGCAGUGAAAUGCGUAGAUAUGCGGAGGAACACCGAUGGCGAAGGCAAUCCCCUGGGCCUGCACUGACGCUCAUGCACGAAAGCGUGGGGAGCAAACAGG
rnacentral:rRNA from 1 species